CCGCGAGUGGCGAAACGGUGUGAGUAAUACAUCGGACGUGUCCUUAAGUGGGGAAAUGACGCAUACGAAAAGAUGUGCUAAUACCGCAUAUCUCUCAGGAGAAAGCAGGGGAUCGAAAGACCUUGCGCUAAAGGAGCGGCUGAUGUCUGAUUAGCUAGUUGGUGGGGUAAAGGCUUACCAAGGCAACGAUCAGUAGCUGGUCUGAGAGGACGACCAGCCACACUGGGACUGAGACACGGCCCAGACUCCUACGGGAGGCAGCAGUGGGGAAUUUUGGACGACGGGCGAAAGCCUGAUCCANCCAUGCCGCGUGAGUGAAGAAGGCCUUCGGGUUGUAAAGCUCUUUUAGUCGGAAAGAAAGAGUCAUAGUAAAUAGCUAUGAUUUAUGACGGUACCGACAGAAAAAG
rnacentral:rRNA from 1 species